CGCGUAAAAGCCAGAGGCUAUGUAUUCUUUUUUAGGUUAAAGGAACCAUCGACUUCAAGUAAGGAAGGAAUAGAACUUGCAGCUCCCUUUCUCUGUACAGUAAUAGCACUACAUUUAGCAGCAAAUUCCAGUGAGUCCUUAAGUGGCUGUCCGUGUGCAAUUGAAUUAGAAAAGGCACCAAUGAAGGUAUCGCCAGCGGCAGUCGUGUCAACGGCUUUCACUUUGCAUGCUGAGACCAAAGCAGAUUCUCCGUUCGCAGACUUAUAGUAAGCACCUUGGCUACCAAGGGUUAUAAUUACGGCUUUACGGACACCGAAGCUUAGUAACUUAGAAGCAUAUGCAUCCACAUUUUCCAACGUAGCAGGUGAGUCUGCUUGAUUUAAGAGAAUGGCAGCUUCAUGUUCGUUAGGUACAAGAUAGGCACAAUAAGAUAUCAUGUCAUGACUAAGCGGAAUCGCUGGUGCUGGAUUCAUCAAAACAUCGACACCAUGUUUGUGAGCGAUCUGCAAUGCAAUUUCCACUGCUUCUAAAGGAAUUUCUAAUUGCAUAAUUAGAAGAUUACAUGUUGAUAUUCUUUGCUCCAUGGCCUUCACAAACGCAGUAUCAACAUUACCGUUCGCACCCUCAGAAAGCAAAAUUCUGUUUUCUCCCGUUUCUUCGACAAUAAUCAUGGCAACACCUGUGGACUUGUUUUCAAUCUUUUUGACAUUAUCUACAUUUACGCCGUCUUUCUUCAAUCCGGACAACAUUUCCACCCCAAAGGCAUCAUCACCUACGCAUCCCAACAUAGAUACUUUCGUAUCAGCCGGAUUUGAUAGCCUAGCAACAGCUACAGCUUGAUUAGCUCCUUUCCCACCAUUUCCUGUACUGAAGCCAUCUGGUUCUCCAUGAAUCGUCUCACCACCUGAGGGACAUAUCUUUGUACGCAUUACGAGAUCGGUAUUCAUACUCCCUAAAACGACUAUAUUAAUCAUUUUAAAAAAAUAUGGCAACAAAAACAAGAGAAUUUGAAGAAAUUGAGCAAGAGUAUGAAUUAGUAGAUGUCGUUGGCAAUGCUACUUGGCAAGUUAUUUAUCAAUUAAUUUAAGAAGGAAGAAUGUUAGGAACGACAAUAUACACAGGUAAAGUAAUAGGAAAAUUCAC